rnacentral:sRNA from 1 species
GGGGGGCACCCAGCAGUUUACUGU